UACGGAGGGGGCUAGCGUUGUUCGGAAUCACUGGGCGUAAAGCGCGCGCAGGCGGCCUUUCAAGUUAGGUGUGAAAUCCCGGGGCUUAACCUCGGAAUUGCAUUUAAGACUGCUUGGCUAGAGUAUGGUAGAGGAUAGUGGAAUUCCUAGUGUAGGGGUGAAAUCCGUAGAUAUUAGGAGGAACACCAGUGGCGAAGGCGGCUAUCUGGGCCAUUACUGACGCUGAGGCGCGAAAGCGUGGGGAGCAAAC
rnacentral:rRNA from 1 species